CGCCAUCUUCCCAUUUUCUAGCAGAGCGCUUGACAGAGCGGGAGCACUCAAUAACUCUGCCAGCUAAUUUCUCACUAAGACUAAAGCAGAGCAAGAGCACGUUGAACAAGUGAAGCCAAUUCCACGUUUGGAAGCAGCUUCCAUUCCUCUCCUGUGCACCAGCCUCAUACGUGGAAGUUCUCUCUGGUCUUCUACGCUGCCACACAGCUUUCUCCUGAGCACCCCAUGGACUUUCAUGGAAAAGAGCCCAUGGGUAGAUACCCAGCAGUGGAAUUGUUGGAUUGAAUGAUGCACGUGUCAAUUUAAUGACUGUGGAAUUCCUUGAAACUGGUGGAAAAUCCUGUGCACACACCAUCUCUUCAUGGUGACGGCGUAGCAAGGGGCUGUUAUUUAGUGGAGACCGUGAGUCUUCCUGCGGCAGUAAAGGUUUAUCACACAACAUAGUCGAAUAACAUGGUGCUCCGCACACAAUGCUGCAGAGACGUGGCCCGGAGUUACAGGAGCGGCUCAAGCAGAUUCAGAGGUAUGAAUCCAGGAUUUUGGAAGGCUGACACUUUUAUAACUUUUGGAGACCACUUUAAGAAAAAGAAUGCAAGCAUUAUAAAUGCUAGGUCUGCUUCUGAGGAAUGAAAUUUUGGAGUGGAAGAUGACAUUCCACCUGUUUAGGAUGUAUGAUAGCAUUUUCUUUUAUCAAAAUCUAUUGCAAAGUUCAUCUGUUAAUGACAAUUUGUGAUAUUUUAUAUAUGUGUCAUCUUAAAAAUGUCUCUUCACAUAAAUCCUGCCCAAUACUGAUUCCAAACCUGAAGCAAAUUCUUUUAAUUAAACAUAUUCAUCUCCUGAAUGCAUUUACAGAAUCCCAUUAGAUUUUGUUCUCGAUAUUUGCUUUUAAGCACACCAUUAUAUUGUGUGUUAUCACUUCCAGUUGACAGUUGGGUGGAAGCUUCUCAAUGACAUAAUUAAAACGGAUUUGGAAAUACGGAAAUUCCCUUUGUAUUUACGUCAAGGUAUGACGCUGCUAGAGCUUGGUUUGGGUUUGGAAGGUUCACUGGGCACAAAACUGUGGAUGAGGAAUGAGGAUCUCGCUUCAUGUUUUAUCUUUUGGCAAAACAGGUAGUGGCUAAAGCAUCUUGACAAUACCUGUGAUCCACACGAUGUUAACUGCUGUCGAAAUGGCUUUGUCACAGUUUGUUUCACAAUUACCUGCUGUUUUGCCUUGUAGUUUUAGUUUGAACUCAAGGAAUAGCAAGUCUGCAGCAAAAGCUAAUUCGGUGCUAUUUAGGGUCCGAUAAUAGUGGUUGAGGGCAUUUCUCCCCUUAUGGAGAAAUUUCAGUGUCUGCCCUGAGCUCAAAGUAUUGCAAUAAAACUUUACUACAGCUAAGCUGUCGAACUGCUGUGUGACAGAGAAAGUCAGGAUAUUCAGCUCCAGUUCCAGCCGGAAAUUCACAGAACUGAGGAUGGUUGAGUCCAUGAGAGAGAGUAGAGUUCACUGCUGACACAACUGAUUCAAUGACACACAACAGAUUCCAGUGUUUUCCCCAAGCAGCUACUGGUGAAUAGUAAAGUAGGCAUCGAUGGGCUUUUAACCUGUUAGCAUUUCACAAGUUUUGCAGAUUUUCUGUUUGAUGUAUUAAUAUAUCUUUUCCACCAUCAGUUGUACAAGCAUAUUCCAUUUCAGGCUAUGCUGGAUUCAUGCCUUCUUCACUUCUCUAAAAAAAAUAAACUCAUCUCCCCUGUUCCACGCACGCCAUGCUAGAGGUUAAUUCUACAGUCACUUAAAACUUGGUAUUGAUUCACCAAAUAAACAACAAUUGAUGAGUGUCAGCAACAUCUGUGAACUCAUCAAUAGCAAAGAAAAGCCACUCAAAGGCCUUUGCUAUAAAAAAAAUAAUAAGGCAAAUUGAUUACCGAUGCUGUUUCCAAGGUCCUCAGCUCUUCAAGUAAUCGUUCUGGGCAAAAGGCUAAUCGUAUUAAACAAGUUUGUUUUGUUGCCUUUCUGUGAGAAAACACUGUGAUGAGUACUUAGUCUGCUGAUGUCAAGAUGUGUGCUUUUAAGCGUGGAUAUAUUGCCAUUGCAUAACAAACACAGUGACUCGCUAUCGAAUUGAAUACAAAACAAUCCAUACUCAAAGUGCCUUAAAAAUGCAGCAUUUGAAGCCUGUUCUUCUUUUGUUCUGUUUUGUUUUGACUUUAAGGUUGUAUGUAAUAGUGAGAUAUAGAUUAAACGCUAUGUUGACGUGCGGGAUUUGGAAUGCUGCCACGUUUUAACUGUGUCGCCACAGUUUGUAGAGUCUCCAGCAGAAGCAUGAAGCAAUGAGUGUCACAUGCAAAUGUCCUCUUCCACCGUGGCUUAAUUUCCCUGCCGUGCAGUGCAAAGCUGCCAGAGACAAAAAACGAAUGAGCGAGGCUGCCUUCCCAUAAACCUGUAUUUAUGAACACUAAAAUUUGAUUUCCUGUGUCAUAAAGUAUUUUUCUUCUGUUGAUGUUUUCAACUAUUUAAAAAUGUAAAGGCCAUCGGAAAUGACAGGCCAUAAGGAGAGGGAGGCAGGCCAGGGGUAGUCCAUGUGCCGUGGUUGCCAGCUAUGUGUUUCUGGCUUGGGAAGCAAAAUCCAGGUGUUUGAUGUUUAUAAGACACAGAAUUAAAACCUAGUGAUAUUGAAAGAUGGACAGUGAAGCAUAAAAAAAGUCAAAUAAUAACCAAAGAAAGCG